GGAGAGAUGGCCGAGUGGUUGAAGGCGCACGCUUGGAAAGCGUGUAUGCUCGCAAGGGUAUCCAGGGUUCGAAUCCCUGUCUCUCCG
rnacentral:tRNA from 1 species